rnacentral:rRNA from 1 species
GACGAACGCUGGCGGCGUGCUUAACACAUGCAAGUCGAACGGAAAGGCCUCUUUCGGGGGGUACUCGAGUGGCGAACGGGUGAGUAACACGUGAGUAACCUGCCCUUGACUUUGGGAUAACUUCAGGAAACUGGGGCUAAUACCGGAUAGGAGCUCCUGCUGCAUGGUGGGGGUUGGAAAGUUUCGGCGGUUGGGGAUGGACUCGCGGCUUAUCAGCUUGUUGGUGGGGUAGUGGCUUACCAAGGCUUUGACGGGUAGCCGGCCUGAGAGGGUGACCGGCCACAUUGGGACUGAGAUACGGCCCAGACUCCUACGGGAGGCAGCAGUGGGGAAUAUUGCACAAUGGGUGGAAGCCUGAUGCAGCAACGCCGUGUGCGGGAUGACGGCCUUCGGGUUGUAAACCGCUUUCGCUCAUGACGAAGCUUUGUGUGACGGUAGUGGGUAAAGAAGCACCGGCAAACUACGU